rnacentral:misc_RNA from 1 species
CAAAAAAAAAAAUCCCACCUUUUAUAUACCACCCAUUCCCUCUUUCUCCCCCCCACCCUUCUUUUCUACUCAAUUCCUCCAUUUCCUCACUUUCCCUCGCUUUCCCAGGAAAUAAAGGGAGAACCCAAUUCGAGAACACAAGAAAACAUACUUCCCAGGUGGAAAUGAGAGAAAUUCUUCACAUCCAGGGCGGCCAAUGCGGCAACCAGAUUGGAGCUAAGUUCUGGGAGGUGAUAUGCGACGAGCAUGGUAUUGAUAACACCGGAAAGUAUAGCGGUGACUCUGAACUCCAGCUUGAGCGUAUCAAUGUCUAUUACAACGAGGCCAGUGGUGGCAGAUACGUGCCUCGUGCUGUUCUUAUGGAUCUGGAGCCUGGUACCAUGGAUUCCGUUAGAUCUGGACCGUUUGGGCAGAUCUUUAGGCCUGAUAACUUCGUUUUCGGCCAGUCUGGCGCUGGGAAUAACUGGGCUAAAGGCCAUUACACUGAAGGAGCUGAAUUGAUCGAUUCUGUGCUUGAUGUUGUCAGGAAAGAGGCUGAGAAUUGUGAUUGCUUACAGGGUAAUGAUAGAGUUUUGGUAUUUUCGUGUUAUUUGCUUAAUUCGUUUGCUUUGAUCCUGAUGGUUUUGGUGUGGGUUAAGUAUAUUUGGUUUUGUUAUUAAUUUUAUCUUUGCAUUGGCUGGGGUAUGAGGUUUGUUUCUUACAUGGGUUUUCGUUGUUUUCUGAAAAUGUUCAAGGGUUUGAUUAAAUUCCUUUUAUUAAGGACUAGCUUUAUUCUUUUUCCUUUACUUUUUUUUAUGUAUAUCUUGUGGAAUUUGUUUCUACAUAGAUUUUGUCUGGUGUUAGAAAUUUUCUGUUUGUUUUAUCAUAUCCUGCAGUGUGUGACAAAUUAAUGUAGAAUCUGUUCAUUUACUUAUAUAUGGUGAAGCUAAAUGCAUACGUAGAUCAAUGAAUUUUUUUUGAACUCUAUUUUGGUUUUGGUACUCUUAGUUGCAGGGUUUUUACGGCAUUUAUAUGAAUUGAGUUCACGUUGUUGGAUUCGUUUCUCUGUUUAUGAAUCUUUCAUAACAUUUUGGUCCAUUGCUUGGUAAUGUCCUUGUUUUAAUUGUUCUUUACAAAUCAUUCCUUCACUCCGGAUUGGUUGAUUUUUAGCUGUGAACCUUCGUUAUCUUUCUCUUAGUUUCUAAUGGCUUAUUUGGGAGUUUCAAAAGGAUUCCAAUUUCAUAUGUUAUUUGUUAGUCUAUGGUGUAGGCUUAUGGAUUCAAGGCCUUUCUGGCUGAAUCAUUUUGGUUCUGAUUCUUGUUUGUCUUUCUAUUUAAAGAAUUUGGGUUUAUAUUCAUUUUGAUAAUACUACAAAUUGUUGUUAAAGUUUGAUUCAUUGUAGCCUGCAAUUCAUUUUCUUUGUAUCUUCCACAAGCUUUCUUCACGUGAGAUCCAGACAUUUGUGGAUAACCUUUUAAAAUUGAAUUCUAUAAGGGAACAUACAUAUUGAGCGCUUAUGCCAGGUUUUCCAAUAAACUUUUUUGACUUGAAACUUGAGUUUUGUAAUUUUCAAAAAUUGGUGACAAUAUGAAGUAAAAUAUAUUCUGAGACUUGUAUAAGUAUCUAGAAUAAUCUGAUGAGGCUGAAACUAUAAUCUAAUGUUCACUUUUAAAGUUGGAGUUUCUUUGUUUUUGUUGAUCCUGGUUUUUCCCUUGCUAUUUUAUUGCACAUCUCUCAGUUCAUUAUUUUUUAUCAUUUAAUUGGAUUAUUGUUUUUACUUGGUGCUUCCAAAGGAGUUUUUCACCUUAAGCAAUCAUGUAGCAGAAUAUUUUCACAGUUUCUAUUUCUUAAAUUCUUUCUGACUAUUAGUGCUUUGAUUUUAAUAUUCCUAUCUGUUUCAAUUAUCGUUAUUAUAUUUUUUACCAGGAUUUCAAGUUUGUCAUUCAUUGGGUGGAGGCACUGGUUCUGGCAUGGGAACUCUUCUUAUUUCCAAGAUUAGGGAGGAGUAUCCUGAUCGGAUGAUGUUGACAUUUUCGGUCUUUCCUUCUCCUAAGGUAUCUGACACAGUUGUUGAGCCAUACAAUGCAACUCUUUCUGUUCAUCAGCUUGUGGAAAAUGCCGAUGAAUGUAUGGUUUUGGACAAUGAGGCUUUGUAUGACAUCUGCUUCCGCACUCUGAAGCUUGCUACUCCAACUUUUGGUGAUCUUAACCACCUCAUAUCUGCUACAAUGAGUGGUGUUACUUGCUGCCUCCGGUUCCCUGGACAGCUUAACUCUGAUCUUCGAAAGCUUGCAGUUAAUCUUAUUCCAUUUCCUCGCCUGCAUUUCUUCAUGGUUGGGUUUGCACCUUUGACUUCUAGAGGAUCACAACAGUAUCGGGCUUUGACUGUCCCUGAACUAACCCAGCAGAUGUGGGAUGCCAAGAACAUGAUGUGUGCUGCUGACCCACGUCAUGGUCGCUAUCUAACUGCUUCAGCCAUGUUCCGUGGUAAAAUGAGCACUAAAGAGGUUGAUGAGCAAAUGAUAAAUGUCCAGAACAAGAACUCUUCAUACUUUGUUGAGUGGAUACCCAACAAUGUUAAAUCCAGUGUCUGUGAUAUCCCACCUAAGGGUCUCAAGAUGGCAUCGACUUUUAUUGGGAAUUCAACUUCAAUCCAAGAAAUGUUCAGGCGUGUCAGUGAGCAAUUCACAGCAAUGUUCAGGCGCAAGGCUUUCUUGCACUGGUAUACUGGUGAGGGUAUGGAUGAAAUGGAAUUUACUGAGGCAGAGAGUAACAUGAAUGAUCUGGUGGCCGAGUACCAGCAGUAUCAAGAUGCAACAGCUGAUGAUGAGUAUGAAGAAGAAGAAGAAGAGGAGAUUGCUGGUUGAAGUGGGUUUAAAAUCUUUUUCAGUUUGUCUGAAGUUUUUAUUGUGUUGGCUCUGGAAAUGAGUGAUUCUAUUUCUGUUGUUGAAGUGUAAAACCAGAUUGACAUGUUGAUAUGUAUUAUUGUGGGUCCUUGUAUCAGAAAUGGGUACUGUUGUUUUAAAUUUAAAAUUAUGGAUGGAUGUUUUUGUAUCUAAUAGAUGAAUAUGUGAAUUGAAACUAUUGAUGUUGAAAACGAUUUUUUAAGUGGAAUGGGCAUAGCUUUGUGAUUGUGGUG